UGAAUACGAGACGCUAAGGCGUCGAAGUAGUGUAUGUCAUACUUCCAAGAAAAGCUUGCACUGUCAUAGAUAAAAAACGCCUGUACCAUAACCGACACAGGUGGGUAGGUAGAGUAUACUAAGGGGCGCGAGAUAACUCUCUCUAAGGAACUCGGCAAAAUAACUCCGUAACUUCGGGAGAAGGAGUGCCUUAUUCGUAAGGUUGCAAUAACAAGAUCCAAGCAGCUGUUUAUCAAAAACACAGGUCUCCGCUAAGUCGUAAGACGAUGUAUGGGGGCUGACGCCUGCCCAGUGCCAGAAGGUUAAAGAAGUUGGUUAGCAAUUGCGAAGCUGAUAACUGAAGCCCUGGUGAACGGCGGCCGUAACGAUAACGGUCCUAAGGUAGCGAAAUUCCUUGUCGGGUAAGUUCCGACCCGCACGAAAGGCGUAAUGAUUUGGAUACUGUCUCGGAGAGGGGCUCGGUGAAAUAGACUUGUCUGUGAAGAUGCGGACUACCUGCACCAGGACAGAAAGACCCUAUGAAGCUUUACUGUAACUUGAAAUUGAAAUUGGACUUAUUCGCGCAGUAUAGGUGGGAGGCGUUGAUUAUAAUCUUGUGGGAUUAUUGGAGCCAUCAGUGAGAUACCACUCUUGUAAUGUUAGAUUUCUAACUUUGAAUCAUUAUCUGGUCAAAGAACAGUUUCAGGCGGGCAGUUUGACUGGGGCGGUCGCCUCCUAAACGGUAACGGAGGCGUACAAAGGUUUCCUCUGAACGGUUAGAAAUCGUAUCUAGAGUGUAAAGGCAUAAGGAAGCUUGACUGUGAGACCUACAAGUCGAGCAGGGACGAAAGUCGGUCUUAGUGAUCUGACGGUACUGAGUGGAAAGGCCGUCACUCAACGGAUAAAAGUUACUCUAGGAUAACAGGCUGAUCUCCCCCAAGAGUUCACAUCGACGGGGAGGUUUGGCACCUCGAUGUCGGCUCAUCGCAUCCUGGGGCGGUAGUACGUCCCAAGGGUUGGGCUGUUCGCCCAUGAAAGCGGUACGCGAGCUGGGUUCAGAACGUCGUGAGACAGUUCGGUCCAUAUCCGGUGUAGGCGUUAGAAUAUUGAGAGGAGCCUUCUUUAGUACGAGAGGACCGAGAGGGACAUACCUCUGGUGUACCAGUUAUCGUGCCAACGGUAAACGCUGGGUAGCUAUGUAUGGAGUGGAUAACCGCUGAAAGCAUCUAAGUGGGAAGCCCACCUCAAGAUAAGUAUUCUCACC
rnacentral:rRNA from 1 species